rnacentral:tRNA from 1 species
GCACCUGUAGGGUAGUCAGGAUAUCCUAAGGGCCUCCGGAGCCUUUGACUCGGGUUCAAAUCCCGACAGGUGCG